rnacentral:siRNA from 1 species
GGCUAAGGUGAGGAUGGUAUUUGC